rnacentral:antisense_RNA from 1 species
AGUUGGCAGAGCUUUAAGAGUUUUACAGGCCGUCGAACUUUCUUCUUUCACUGACAACUGACAUUUACGCUGCUUUUUCUUAUUAACUCCUAUGUUUGUAUCAGCCCGGAUCGACUUUGUUCCGGGCUUUUUUU